rnacentral:rRNA from 1 species
AGUGAACGCUGGCGGUAGGCCUAACACAUGCAAGUCGAACGGCAGCACAGUAAGAGCUUGCUAUUACGGGUGGCGAGUGGCGGACGGGUGAGGAAUACAUCGGAAUCUACUUUUUCGUGGGGGAUAACGUAGGGAAACUUACGCUAAUACCGCAUACGACCUACGGGUGAAAGAAGUGGAUCUUCGGACCUUGCGCGAUUGAAUGAGCCGAUGUCGGAUUAGCUAGUUGGCGGGGUAAUGGCCCACCAAGGCGACGAACCGUAGCUGGUCUGAGAGGAUGAUGAGACACAUAUGAGCUGAGACACGGUCCAGACUGCGAUGGGAGUCAGCAGUUGGGAAUAUGGGACAAUGGGCGCAAUGCUGCUCCAGCCAUACCGCGUGGGUGAAGAAAGCCUUCAGGUUGUAAAGCCCUUUUGUUGGGAAAGAAAAGCAGCAGGUUAAGACCCCGCUGUUCUGACGGUACCCAAAUAAUAAGCACCGGCUAACUUAGUG